GCCCCCGUAGCUCAGCUGGUAGAGCGGCGGACUUUUAAUCCGAUGCGCGCAGGUUCGAGCCCUGCCGGGGGCA
rnacentral:tRNA from 1 species